UCCUAUUAACGAUGGAGAACACUUGUUUCAUUAUAAAGUGGUCCAAGGAGACUUUGUGUGGAUUUUCUACUGGAUCUUAAAUGAGAACGAGGAAACGCAUUGCUCUUCAAUGACGAUGCAGGCAAGCGAUUCCUCAAAUUUGAAAAACAAGGAUGUUGGCACAUUUUGGAUUUCCCUCUGAGGAAGUGCAGAUUAUUGGCUCUUGGUCCUCCGGUGCUCAUAACCAGGCAACUGCCUGCAUAAAGAGAGAGAUUGUGUCAGUCCAACUGGUUGGGCCUGAAUUAAAAAUGGAUUAACAUUACAAAAAAUUCACCCAUCCAUAAUGACAAUGUGAAAACAUCUUUUUAUAAAUGUUUAAACAUUUAUUGAAAAUGAAAUACAGAUAUAUCUCAUUUACAUAAGUAUUUACACCCGAGUCAAUACUUUGUAGAAGCACUCUUUCUGGGUAAGUCUCUAAGGUCUUUCCACACAUAGAUUGUGCAACAUUUACC
rnacentral:lncRNA from 1 species